GAUCGGAGGCAGGGGGUGGUCUCCAAUCAAACAGAGAAAAGGUCCUGGAGAAGAUGUAUCUUUAAAGCUGUCCUGCUGAAUUGGAAGUCCCUGGAGGGCAGAACUGGCACCCUGUUCAAUCUGGAAUGCCCAGAAAUUCAAUCAACAGAAGUCAGUAUUGAUUUCACACCCUCCUGGACCCCUAUUUGAGUCUCUGUGUGGUGGCCCCUCUCCCCGGAAGUGAAGUCUUCCAGACUAUGAAAGUGCUGUUUUCCCUUGAAGACAUUGUGUCUGCCAUGGCUAUCUUGAGUGGAGGCUAGUCUUUUCGAGUGCCAUAGCUAUCUCAGAGCACAGGAUAUAUAGCAGGACUUGUGACCAUUUAAGCUACAAAAUUUGGACAAAUAUUUUGAGACAUGGCUUAAGCUUCAUGCUUUUUUUCUGUUUGUUUUUGUUUGUUUUUUGUUUGUUUGUUUUUCAAGACAGAGUUUCUCUGUAUAGCCCUGGCUGUCCUGGAACUCACUUUGUAGACCAUGCUGGCCUCGAACUUAGAAAUCUGCCUGCCUCUGCCUCCCAAGGUCUGGGAUUAAAGGCGUAUGCCACCAUGCCGGGCUAAGCUUCAUGUUUUUUAUAUAUGGAAUCUGUUAUUAUCGUUAAGAAUUUUAGCACCCAAGUAGAAAGGUUACUUGCCUUGGUUGAUUGCCUUGGUUGUUUUUCAUCUUUGAAAAAGUUUAUCUUCAUCUGAAAACCAAAAAGACAUAACUAUUAUUAACUAUCAGCAUGUGGAAAAGGAGAUUGGAGGGAUAUAAAGGAUAUAGAAAUGAGAUAAAGGACCAGACCUCACGCUUGUGACUUAUGAAGAUAAGAUCUCCUUUGAUUGACAGCCGAAGUUAAAACAAACAAGUGGGAAACUUGCCUGCAAAAAAAUCAGCAGUCAAGUUAAGAUGAUUUAAUCAAAUUUUCUAUUCAAAAUAAUUCCUUUACCCAAAGCCAUCAUGAGCCAUCUUUUCCCAAUUGAGUACUCGAAAGAAGAAAACUGGGCUAGAGAAACAGGAUCUCGGAUGAUUAUAAUUGAAGAGUGUCUAUUGCUCCAGAGCCACAAUCUAUGAGCUAGAAGACAGCUGGGACAGCAAAUUCUUGACUCGCUUAUCAUCAUGUUCCCUUUCCAUGGUCAGCCCAGACUCUGGGCUCCAUCACAACACACUAGUCUGUUCAGCAUGGAGUACCUUUUUUGCCUCUUCUAGUCCAGCCAUCCAGGCAAAUCAAUCAAUACACUAAGUGGCAAUUCAUAAGUGACCCAUCGUGUCAAGCUGGAGAGCAGGAGGGACACCCAGCUUUUUAAAGCGAGCUUAUCAAUCACUGUAUCCCGAAUAAGCAUCUUCAUCCCAGCUACAGAAAAUAGAAGGCUGUAGAAAAGAACAGGAGGCUAGCCAUGCUUUCAACCUUAUUUUAAAGUAAUUAUAUGAAAAAAGUCUGUGUUUAUAAACUAAUAAAUUAUACACUUUUAAAA
rnacentral:lncRNA from 1 species